rnacentral:rRNA from 1 species
AACGAACGCUGGCGGCAGGCCUAACACAUGCAAGUCGAACGUGAAGCCACCUUCGGGUGGUGGAAAGUGGCAGACGGGUGAGUAACGCGUGGGAACGUGCCUUUCGGUUCGGGAUAACCCAGGGAAACUUGGGCUAAUACCGGAUACGCCCUUCGGGGGAAAGAUUCAUUGCCGAAAGAUCGGCCCGCGUCGGAUUAGCUAGUUGGUGGGGUAAUGGCCUACCAAGGCGACGAUCCGUAGCUGAUCUGAGAGGAUGAUCAGCCACACUGGGACUGAGACACGGCCCAGACUCCUACGGGAGGCAGCAGUGGGGAAUAUUGCACAAUGGGCGAAAGCCUGAUGCAGCGACGCCGCGUGAGGGAAGAAGGUCUUCGGAUUGUAAACCUCUUUUGUCGGGGAAGAUGAUGACGGUACCCGGCGAAUAAGCCCCGGCUAACUACGUGCCAGCCGCCGCCGUAACAC